UACGAAGGGGGCUAGCGUUGUUCGGAAUUACUGGGCGUAAAGCGCACGUAGGCGGAUUGUUAAGUCGGGGGUGAAAUCCUGAGGCUCAACCUCAGAACUGCCUUCGAUACUGGCGAUCUUGAGUUCGGAAGAGGUUGGUGGAACAGCUAGUGUAGAGGUGAAAUUCGUAGAUAUUCGGAAGAACACCAGUGGCGAAGGCGGCUCACUGGUCCGGUACUGACGCUGAGGUGCGAAAGCGUGGGGAGCAAACAGG
rnacentral:rRNA from 1 species